UUGAAAUAUAUUGUUAUGGGGCUUAUGUUUUUACUGGCAUCAUGUUGCUUAUUUUGCUUUAUGGGUUCCUUCUUACACUAGUAUGGAUGAAUGAUAGGAUUCACUAUGGGCAAGACAUGACCUUGGGCAUUACAUCAACAUUGAUUUGUUUUCUGAAUCAUAGUUACGAGAUCCACUUGACCCCCCAGGCUCAGAGAUCUGGUUUGUCUGUCCCAAUUUGCUAGGGGUCACGAUCUGGAUCGCUAAAAUGGGUGGUCAAAAUAGCUCAAUAAUUAUUGCAGAAAAAAUUCAGGGAGGAGGAGAGGGAAGGGAAGCCAUGAAGAAGAAAAAGAAGAACAAGAA
rnacentral:misc_RNA from 1 species